CAGCACACUCUUGGAUUUGAUCCAAACUAAAGUGAACUAUGUAGUCCAAGAGGCUAUUGUAGUCAUCAAGGAUAUCUUCAGAAAAUAUCCAAACAAAUAUGAAAAGCAUCAUUGCCACAUUGUGUGAAAAUCUGGACACUUUAGACGAGCCCGAAGCCAGAGCCUCAAUGAUAUG
rnacentral:sRNA from 1 species